ACUUUUCCUUCCUUAUCUAGAAACCCACUGGUUGAUUGAAAUUCUCUGUUUGAUUCACUCCAAAGGGGAUACCAAGUAGAUUCAAUCUGUGCCCAUCUGGCAACGAUCACCCUGGAUAGAGAAAGAUCUGGGUUACAAAUUGCUAAAGGAGAGUGAAAGACCAAAGCUCCUGACCUCUCACCUUCCCUUCCAUCUCUUCCCCAAGUCGUUAUUCACUUCCAAGGCCAAGGUGCUAUAUAUCAUGAGAAAUCCCAAAGAUGUUCUUGUAUCAGGUUAUUAUUUUUGGACGACAUCAGACCUUACUAAGAAACCAGAGUCACUGGAACAAUACUUUAAAUGUUUCAUCCAAGGAAACGGGAUAUCCAUCCAUAAUCAUGGAGCUGAGUUGAGGAAGAAAUUCCGAAGUCCUUUGUGUUACUCAAGUGCCGGUUAUGGGACACAGCAUCAUCUGGGAACCCAAGAAGCACCAUAGAGAAGAUCUGUCAAUUCCUGGGAAAGAAGUUAAAUCCGGAAGAACUGGAUUCAGUCCACAAGAAUAGCUCCUUCCACAGCAUGAAACAAAACAAGAUGUCUAAUCUUGAAACAAUGCCUGAAUCUUUAACGAGUCUGCACUUCUCAAUGGCAAGGAAAGGCAUCUGUGGGGACUGGAAGAAUCACUUCACAGUGGCCCAAGAUGAAGCCUUUAAUAAAGUAUUCCAAGAGAAGUUGGCAGGUUUUCCCAAAGACCUAUUCCCAUGGGAAUAAUGUCCAAGAGAUUCUGGAUCUUCUAUGGAUGCUGAUAAUUGUUGUCCUGUCCUGGGAUGAGUACAGAACUGGGGAGUUCUAGAAUAAACCCAUUUCUACAGGAAAAUGGAGGGAAGGACAGGAUGGCAUCAAGAACCAAUGAAAUAUAAACUAAUAGAGGAGCAACAGGAAAUCUAGCUGAGUAGAGAAGGAGAAUGGGAGAGGGAGGAGGCCCAGCAGGGAGUGGGGAGCGAGACCUGAAAUGCCUUUCCCUGCAGGGAUGAGUGUUUCUGGAACUACCCAAAUACUGUGCAUAACAAAUCUAAUGCUCUGACACAAAAUUAAAAACCUGCUUCCUCACUCUGGAGCCCUCGAUUAUACAUGUUGCUU